rnacentral:lncRNA from 1 species
CAGCAGUGUAUUUUCAGCUAUAGAAACAACAGCUCCAUUCACUGCAUGCAAAAGGAAAACAAUCUUAAAGAAGGGCAAAUACACAAAGGGACUCUUCAGCCUUUCCUCCUUUCCAUGCAAGUUUUGAUUUUCUCCUCUCCAUGACCACACCAGCACUUUGUCAUCACUAACCCUGGGGUGUCUCAGGAGAUCGAGCCUGUUGCCCUUCUCUACUCUGGUCGCUGUCCUGAGAUGCUGGAGGAGUGAUAUGCACAGAUUGGGAGUGUGGUGUGCUAGGUGGAGGAGGUCAUGCACACCAUCACAGUCAGCAGUGGACUUCCCAGCAGCACCAACAGAGGCACAUGGUGUAUGGUAAGUGGGGAGGUACUGCGGGCAUAGGAUCAGAAAAUGCCUUGGGUUGGAAGGGACCUCGAAGACUCUGGGAGGUACACUUCUAUCCAGCAAGUGGCAGGUGAUGGCUCAUGGUGGCAGCCUGUGCCUCCUGGCGAGGGCACUGGGAGGGCUUCUUCGCUUGGGCUCCGAAAAGGGAGAGCUCUGUUACUCGGAGUUGCAUUUAGGUGGUGCUAGAGAGUAAAUAAUUAAAACCUCUGCAGCUGAGGUGUGCAAAUGGGGAGCUGGAAGAAAUCUGUCCCUAAAAUAUUUAGUGAGAAGGUGAGAACGUUGACACUGCACAACAGGGCACAUCUCACAGGACAUGACAGACCCGCAAGGUUUAAGGGAAUGGGCUCUUAAGUCAUCCUGACCUUUUAGUACUUUCUCAAAACCUGAUUAGAAGAAUAAGAGACUCUUGGGUUUUGACCAGUGACAAAAUCCCUGCCUGACACUCUCACCAGAGAGGUACGAUGAGUGUGGUGGUCCAAAUAAAACUUCACAGACCCAGACCUGACUUAUGUGCUCUCUCACCUACAACAGCAGAGCAGGGGCAGUGAGUGCAGCCUCUGCUGUACAUCACCUCCUGAACCUUCCGAAUUCCAAACCAACCCAAUUCUCC